rnacentral:rRNA from 1 species
GCUUAGUGGCGGACGGGUGAGUAACGCGUGAGCAACCUGCCUUUCAGAGGGGGACAACGGUUGGAAACGACCGCUAAUACCGCAUGAUAUGACUGGACCGCAUGAUCCGGUCAUCAAAGAUUUUAUCGCUGAAAGAUGGGCUCGCGUCUGAUUAGAUAGUUGGUGGGGUAACGGCCCACCAAGUCGACGAUCAGUAGCCGGACUGAGAGGUUGAACGGCCACAUUGGGACUGAGAUACGGCCCAGACUCCUACGGGAGGCAGCAGUGGGGAAUAUUGGGCAAUGGGGGCAACCCUGACCCAGCAACGCCGCGUGAAGGAAGAAGGCUUUCGGGUUGUAAACUUCUUUUACCGAGGACGAAGAACGUGACGGUACUCGGAGAAAAAGCCACGGCUAACUACGUGCCAGCAGCCGCGGUAAUACGUAGGUGGCAAGCGUUGUCCGGAAUUACUGGGUGUAAAGGGCGUGUAGGCGGAGCGGCAAGUCAGAAGUGAAAUCUCUGGGCUCAACCCGGAAACUGCUUUUGAAACUGUCGCCCUUGAGUAUCGGAGAGGCAGGCGGAAUUCCUAGUGUAGCGGUGAAAUGCGUAGAUAUUAGGAGGAACACCAGUGGCGAAGCGGCCUGCUGGACGACAACUGACGCUGAGGCGCGAAAGCGUGGGGAGCAAACAGGAUUAGAUACCCUGGUAGUCCACGCCGUAAACGAUGGAUACUAGGUGUGGGGGGACUGACCCCCCUCCGUGCCGCAGUAAACACAAUAAGUAUCCCACCUGGGGAGUACGACCGCAAGGUUGAAACUCAAAGGAAUUGACGGGGGCCCGCACAAGCAGUGGAUUAUGUGGUUUAAUUCGACGCAACGCGAAGAACCUUACCGGGAUUUGACAUCCUGCUAACGAAGUAGAGAUACAUCAGGUGCCCUUCGGGGAAAGCAGAGACAGGUGGUGCAUGGUUGUCGUCAGCUCGUGUCGUGAGAUGUUGGGUUAAGUCCCGCAACGAGCGCAACCCUUAUUGUUAGUUGCUACGGAAGAGCACUCUAGCGAGACUGCCGUUGACAAAACGGAGGAAGGCGGGGACGACGUCAAAUCAUCAUGCCCCUUAUGUCCCGGGCUACACACGUAAUACAAUGGCGUUAAACAGAGGGAAGCAAAGCCGCGAGGCAGAGCAAAACCCUAAAAGGCGUCUCAGUUCGGAUCG